rnacentral:rRNA from 1 species
CCUGCCCUACGGGACGCAGCAGUGAGGAAUAUUGGUCAAUGGCCGAGAGGCUGAACCAGCCACGUCGCGUGAGGGAAGACGGCCCUACGGGUUGCAAACCUCUUUUGUCGGGGAGCAAAGCGAACCACGUGUGGUUCAUUGAGAGUACCCGAAGAAAAAGCAUCGGCUAACUCCGUGCCAGCAGCCGCGGUAAUACGGAGGAUGCGAGCGUUAUCCGGAUUUAUUGGGUUUAAAGGGUGCGCAGGCGGAGGUGCAAGUCAGCGGUCAAAUUGCGGGGCUCAACCCCGUACUGCCUUUGAAACUGC